rnacentral:rRNA from 1 species
ACACAUGCAAGUCGAACGAGCGAGAGAGAGCUUGCUUUCUCAAGCGAGUGGCGAACGGGUGAGUAACGCGUGAGGAACCUGCCUCAAAGAGGGGGACAACAGUUGGAAACGACUGCUAAUACCGCAUAAGCCCACAGGUCGGCAUCGACCGGAGGGAAAAGGAGCAAUCCGCUUUGAGAUGGCCUCGCGUCCGAUUAGCUAGUUGGUGAGGUAACGGCCCACCAAGGCAACGAUCGGUAGCCGGACUGAGAGGUUGAACGGCCACAUUGGGACUGAGACACGGCCCAGACUCCUACGGGAGGCAGCAGUGGGGAAUAUUGCACAAUGGGGGAAACCCUGAUGCAGCGACGCCGCGUGGAGGAAGAAGGUCUUCGGAUUGUAAACUCCUGUUGUUGAGGAAGAUAAUGACGGUACUCAACAAGGAAGUGACGGCUAACUACGUGCCAGCAGCCGCGGUAAAACGUAGGUCACAAGCGUUGUCCGGAAUUACUGGGUGUAAAGGGAGCGCAGGCGGGAAGACAAGUUGGAAGUGAAAUCUAUGGGCUCAACCCAUAAACUGCUUUCAAAACUGUUUUUCUUGAGUAGUGCAGAGGUAGGCGGAAUUCCCGGUGUAGCGGUGGAAUGCGUAGAUAUCGGGAGGAACACCAGUGGCGAAGGCGGCCUACUGGGCACCAACUGACGCUGAGGCUCGAAAGUGUGGGUAGCAAACAGGAUUAGAUACCCUGGUAGUCCACACCGUAAACGAUGAUUACUAGGUGUUGGAGGAUUGACCCCUUCAGUGCCGCAGUUAACACAAUAAGUAAUCCACCUGGGGAGUACGACCGCAAGG